rnacentral:lncRNA from 1 species
GGAACGCUCGCCGCUCCCGGUCCCAGUACCCAUAUGGGGUAAACCAAACGUCCAAGAUAAACCCACGCUGGGACUACUGGUACUCUAAGAUAGAGAGUUCUGUUGUUUACUCUCUCUGCUUUCCCAUUUAUCGCCUCUUAUUGUUUGUAGAGUAAAAUUUAAAAUAGGAGAUGUGAUUACUAGGACCGCUUAAGAUAACCUUAUUGGGCAGUAAACAAUCCCAUGACCAAAACAAAACAUGAAUCUAUGUGCUUUUAUGCCUGUUUGUUUUCUAUGGUUUUUAACGCUGCUUUAUAUGUGCUUUUUUUUGCUGUAGGUGGCGAUGAUGGGGUGGUAGAAGAGAACAGAUCUACUAGGCUAGCUGUAGCUUCUCAAUGCCUGUAUGAUAUUUUGAUCCAAUCUUCUGUGGUAAAAGAUAAAAUAACACUUGGGAUCUGUAUGUGUUAUUAGCCCCUGUGGUACUCUGUUUGUUUCCAGGUCUGCAGAGUUUAGUUUCUGUAGAUAUUUGAGUUAAGAGGAGACUAAGCCAUGAAGUAAAAGAGAUGCCUAGUUUUUUUUUCCUUCAAUAUGGUAGCCAGCAUUGUAUCAUGUAGAAUUUUAAUCCAGGACAGAAGUGGUUCCAUGUAUAUGGGGGAAACCAAACCACACAAGAAGCUAUCAGCUAUGCCUG